GCAAAGUUUCUAAAAAUAUUUGACCUGAGAAUCUUUUUCUUUCCAGCAACAUCUGUUUAACUUUGCAGAACUAGAAUUCUGCAGAAUAUUCUUGGGAAAGCACAUUAUAUAGACAGACUAGUAAACAUUUUAGGCUCUGUGGAUAUGGUCUCUGUUGGGAUUAUUCAAUUCUGUCAUUGUAGUGUGAAAGCUGUCCUAGGCAAGAUGUAAAUGAAUGGGUGUGGCUGUGACUCAAUAAAGCUUUAUUUACAAAAGAGGCAGCAGGCUGUAGUAUGCAACUCCUGAUCUAGGAUUUGAGAUAGUAAAGGACUGGCAAUUAUAAGUUUUUAAAGUGUUUUGUCAAGGCCUGCUGUUUGUGCUUUCUCCCUACAGGCCCCAUUCCCUUCCCCACCCCAAUUAAUCUGCCAUCUCAAGGUUCAGAAGGAUAGCAAUUGAGGGAAGGAGGGGACAGAGACAAAGGAAGAAGAUGGGGAUGGAGAGAGAAGGAAAAGGUGUCCACAUGGAACACUGGGAAAAGGGCAUCCAUGUUUCACACUCUCAUGGUCCAUUUGAUUAAAUAAAUGUCCACUGACUGAA